GUACUUACUUCAGCAGCACAUACACUAAAAUCUGGAAUGAUACAGAGAAGACUGGCAAAGGGCCUACACAAAGAUGACAUGCAAAUUCAUGAAGUGUUCUAUAUCAUU